rnacentral:rRNA from 1 species
ACGGGUGAGUAACGCGUGGGAACGUACCUUUUGGUUCGGAACAACACAGGGAAACUUGUGCUAAUACCGGAUAAGCCCUUACGGGGAAAGAUUUAUCGCCGAAAGAUCGGCCCGCGUCUGAUUAGCUAGUUGGUGGGGUAAUGGCCCACCAAGGCGACGAUCAGUAGCUGGUCUGAGAGGAUGAUCAGCCACAUUGGGACUGAGACACGGCCCAAACUCCUACGGGAGGCAGCAGUGGGGAAUAUUGGACAAUGGGGGCAACCCUGAUCCAGCCAUGCCGCGUGAGUGAUGAAGGCCCUAGGGUUGUAAAGCUCUUUUGUGCGGGAAGAUAAUGACGGUACCGCAAGAAUAAGCCCCGGCUAACUUCGUGCCAGCAGCCGCGGUAAUACGAAGGGGGCUAGCGUUGCUCGGAAUCACUGGGCGUAAAGGGUGCGUAGGCGGGUCUUUAAGUCAGGGGUGAAAUCCUGGAGCUCAACUCCAGAACUGCCUUUGAUACUGAAGAUCUUGAGUUCGGGAGAGGUGAGUGGAACUGCGAGU